UAAGAUGAGGAACCGCCGUCGCAUUCAACGCAAAGGACCUUGUGCAAUCUACAAUGAGAAUAAUGGCAUCAUUAAAGCUUUCAGAAAUAUCCCAGGUAUCACGCUCCUCAAUGUAAACCAACUGAACCUUUUAAUGCUGGCUCCAGGUGGUCAUGUUGGACGGUUCUGCAUCUGGACAGAGAGUGCCUUCCGCAAGCUGGAUGAUCUUUACGGCACAUGGCGUAAACCAGCAACCCUAAAG